GACGAACGCUGGCGGCGUGCUUAACACAUGCAAGUCGAACGGAAAGGCCCUGCUUUUGUGGGGUGCUCGAGUGGCGAACGGGUGAGUAACACGUGAGUAACCUGCCCUUGACUUUGGGAUAACUUCAGGAAACUGGGGCUAAUACCGGAUAGGAGCUCCUGCUGCAUGGUGGGGAUUGGAAAGUUUCGGCGGUUGGGGAUGGACUCGCGGCUUAUCAGCUUGUUGGUGGGGUAGUGGCUUACCAAGGCUUUGGCGGGUAGCCGGCCUGAGAGGGUGACCGGCCACAUUGGGACUGAGAUACGGCCCAGACUCCUACGGGAGGCAGCAGUGGGGAAUAUUGCACAAUGGGCGGAAGCCUGAUGCAGCAACGCCGCGUGCGGGAUGACGGCCUUCGGGUUGUAAACCGCUUUCGCCUGUGACGAAGCGUGAGUGACGGUAAUGGGUAAAGAAGCACCGGCUAACUACGUG
rnacentral:rRNA from 1 species